UUGGAGGGCAAGUCUGGUGCCAGCAGCCGCGGUAAUUCCAGCUCCAAUAGCGUAUAUUAAAGUUGUUGCAGUUAAAAAGCUCGUAGUUGAAUUUCGGGGUCAGUAGGCUGGUCGUGCCACGGGUAUGUACUGGUCUCACUGAUUCCUCCUUCCUGAUGAACCGUAAUGCCAUUAAUUUGGUGUUGCGGGGAAACUGGACUGUUACUUUGAAAAAAUUAGAGUGUUUAAAGCAGGCUAACGCUUGAAUACAUUAGCAUGGAAUAAUGAAAUAGGACGUUCGAUCCUAUUUUGUUGGUUUCUAGGAUUGACGUAAUGAUUAAUAGGGAUAGUUGGGGGCAUUAGUAUUCAAUUGUCAGAGGUGAAAUUCUUGGAUUUAUUGAAGACUAACUACUGCGAAAGCAUUUGCCAAGGAUGUUUUCAUUAACCAAGAACGAAGGUUAGGGGAUCGAAGACGAGCAGAUACCGUCGUAGUCUUAACCAUAAACUAUGCCGACUAGGGAUCGGAUGAUGUUAUUUUUAAUGACUCAUUCGGCGCCUUACGGGAAA
rnacentral:rRNA from 1 species